CGCUGGCGGCAGGCCUAACACAUGCAAGUCGAGCGGUAACAGGGGUAGCUUGCUACCCGCUGACGAGCGGCGGACGGGUGAGUAAUGCAUAGGAAUCUACCCGGUAGUGGGGGAUAACCUGGGGAAACCCAGGCUAAUACCGCAUACGUCCUACGGGAGAAAGGGGGCUUUGGCUCCCGCUAUCGGAUGAGCCUAUGCCGGAUUAGCUGGUUGGUGAGGUAAUGGCUCACCAAGGCGACGAUCCGUAGCUGGUCUGAGAGGAUGAUCAGCCACAUCGGGACUGAGACACGGCCCGAACUCCUACGGGAGGCAGCAGUGGGGAAUAUUGGACAAUGGGCGCAAGCCUGAUCCAGCCAUGCCGCGUGUGUGAAGAAGGCCCUCGGGUUGUAAAGCACUUUCAGCGAGGAAGAACGCCUGUCGGUUAAUACCCGGCAGGAAAGACAUCACUCGCAGAAGAAGCACCGGCUAACUCCGUGCCAGCAGCCGCGGUAAUACGGAGGGUGCAAGCGUUAAUCGGAAUUACUGGGCGUAAAGCGCGCGUAGGUGGCUUGAUAAGCCGGUUGUGAAAGCCCCGGGCUCAACCUGGGAACGGCAUCCGGAACUGUCAGGCUAGAGUGCAGGAGAGGAAGGUAGAAUUCCCGGUGUAGCGGUGAAAUGCGUAGAGAUCGGGAGGAAUACCAGUGGCGAAGGCGGCCUUCUGGACUGACACUGACACUGAGGUGCGAAAGCGUGGGUAGCAAACAGGAUUAGAUACCCUGGUAGUCCACGCCGUAAACGAUGUCGACCAGCCGUUGGGUGCCUAGCGCACUUUGUGGCGAAGUUAACGCGAUAAGUCGACCGCCUGGGGAGUACGG
rnacentral:rRNA from 1 species